CCCUUAGAUGUUCUGGGCUGCACGCGCGCUACACUGAUGCGCUCAACGAGUUUUAACCUUGCCUGGAAAGGUUGGGUAAUCUUUUUAAAACGCAUCGUGAUGGGGAUAGAUUAUUGCAAUUAUUAAUCUUCAACGAGGAAUGCCUAGUAAACGCAAGUCAUCAGCUUGCAUUGAUUACGUCCCUGCCCUUUGUACACACCGCCCGUCGCUCCUACCGAUUGAAUGAUCCGAUGAAUAUCAUGGAUUGAGGAUGCAAGCAGGUUCGCCUGUCUUCAUCUUCGAGAAGUGAAGUAAAUCUUAUCAUUUAGAGGAAGGAGAAGUCGUAACA
rnacentral:rRNA from 1 species